rnacentral:lncRNA from 1 species
UACUCAAAUAACGAAUAAAGAGUAACGAAGAACACAAAUUCGAGAUGAUCGGGGACUAACACACGAGCACACAGAAAAGGUAACAAUACGGUUGACUGGGUCAAAAUUAGGGUUUAUUGUGCGUUUUGAGUGUAGAUACUGUGACAGUGGGGUGAUCGUCGGAGAUGAAGGUUACCUUCGGAGAGGACGACGCCGCCGUCAGCUCCGCCGUGUGUCGUUUGACUCUGGAUCGUUUUGGAUAUAUCCUCCUUUAACACGUCUCUUCCCGGAAAAUGUAUAAUUGAGAGGAAAUUUCAUUUGUUUUUGUUGAACAAAUUUAAGAUUUAAAAUCUAAAUUAUAUAUUUUAUAGUGAUGUAAUAAAAUAUUAUAUGGAAUUAUUAUUAAUUUUGUUAUUUUUAGAUUAUAUUGUGUUAUUGUGGUAGUCGUAUCUAACACGGGGUUGAGGGUGGUUUAAUAACACAUUCUUAUUAAAGUGGAGCUCUCUUUGAAGGUCAAAAGCUCGAGUGUCGCAAUUGGUGGAAUAAGGUUGGGCAAUGUGUAUUGGUGCCCCUCUAAAUGGAGUUUCAAUUGGUUUUCACCCAUGUCAUCCUUUCUUCCUUUCACAUCGCUAAGCCAUUCACAAAGAUGCCUUUGGCGUCCCGGAGGCGGUUUUGAACACGUUAAAGUGCUAAGGUGGUUGGUGGUGUCAGACCACACCACAUAGCCUAAGUGUCGAAUGGGGUUCUAAAGAUUAGUUGCCAAUGUUUGUGUAAUCAUCAUCUUCUGAAUUAUGGUAAUACUUUCCCAAGUUUGUGUUGAUGCAUAAUCAUGGGUUUUGAUUUUGAUAAGUGGCUUUUCAUAUUUGACCUAGCUUAAGACUCUCAAUAGUUGUUGAAUGGUGUGUGAAAGUUGUAUAACUUGGUAACCGUGCUUAAUUUGAUAGCAUUA